AACGAACGCUGGCGGCAGGCUUAACACAUGCAAGUCGAACGAUGUAGCAAUACAUAGUGGCGCACGGGUGAGUAACGCGUGGGAAUAUACCUUAUAGUGGGGACUAACUUUGGGAAACUAAAGCUAAUACCGCAUACGCCCGAGAGGGGAAAGAUUUAUCGCUAUAAGAUUAGCCCGCGUGAGAUUAGGUAGUUGGUGGGGUAAUGGCCUACCAAGCCUACGAUCUCUAGCUGGUCUGAGAGGAUGAUCAGCCACACUGGAACUGAGACAAGGUACAUACUCCUACGGGAGGAAGCAGUGGGUAAUCUUGGGUAAUAGAGGAAACUCUGACCCAGCCAGGCCGCGUGAAUGAUGUAGGCCUUAGGUUUGUAAAGUUCUUUCGCCGAUGAAGAUAAUGACGGUAGUCGGAGAAGAAGCCCCGGCUAACUUCGUGCCAGCCGCCGCAGUAA
rnacentral:rRNA from 1 species